rnacentral:rRNA from 1 species
UACGUAGGGUGCGAGCGUUGUCCGGAAUUAUUGGGCGUAAAGAGCGUGUAGGCGGCCAUGUAGGUCCGGUGUGAAAACUCGAGGCUUAACCUCGAGAUGUCAUCGGAAACCAUUUGGCUAGAGUCCGGAAGAGGAGAGUGGAAUUCCUGGUGUAGCGGUGAAAUGCGCAGAUAUCAGGAAGAACACCCGUGGCGAAGGCGGCUCUCUGGGACGGUACUGACGCUGAGACGCGAAAGCGUGGGGAGCGAACAGG